rnacentral:rRNA from 1 species
GACGGAGGAUGCAAGUGUUAUCCGGAGUCACUGGGCGUAAAGCGUCUGUAGGUGGUCAAAUAAGUCAACUGUUAAAUCUUGAGGCUCAACCUCAAAAUCGCAGUCGAAACUAUUAGACUAGAGUAUAGUAGGGGUAAAGGGAAUUUCCAGUGGAGCGGUGAAAUGCGUAGAGAUUGGAAAGAACACCGAUGGCGAAGGCGGUUCUCUGGGCCUGUACUGACGCUGAGGAGCGAAAGCGUGGGGAGCGAACAGG